rnacentral:rRNA from 1 species
GACGAACGCUGGCGGCGUGCUUAACACAUGCAAGUCGAACGGUAAGGCCCUUCGGGGUACGCGAGUGGCGAACGGGUGAGUAACACGUGGGUGAUCUGCCCUGCACUUCGGGAUAAGCCUGGGAAACUGGGUCUAAUACCGGAUAGGACUCCGGACUGCAUGGUCUGGGGUGGAAAGCUUUUGCGGUGUGGGAUGGGCCCGCGGCCUAUCAGCUUGUUGGUGGGGUGAUGGCCUACCAAGGCGACGACGGGUAGCCGGCCUGAGAGGGUGACCGGCCACACUGGGACUGAGAUACGGCGCAGACUCCUACGGGAGGCAGCAGUGGGGAAUAUUGCACAAUGGGCGCAAGCCUGAUGCAGCGACGCCGCGUGAGGGAUGACGGCCUUCGGGUUGUAAACCUCUUUCAGCAUCGACGAAGCGAGAGUGACGGUAGGUGCAGAAGAAGGACCGGCCAACUACGUGCCAGCAGCCGCCGUAA